UUUCUCUUGGGUCAUAGGUCAACUCUAUGGGUAACUCUUUGACGAACCGCCAGACUAUUUCAGUACUUCUUUUGCAUUUAUUCCUCUACCUUUAGAUGACAAUGGCAAAUUCGAAGGGCAGAUGUCAGUAUGACUCUGAGGCUGAAUGUUGAGUUCCUGACUGCUGGCCCCAUGAAGAAAGGCUGAUAAUAUUGCUGCACUGAACCACCAGCCUCAGCGAUUCUGCCUCUCUGUUCCUGGGGCCAAAGGAAACUGGCUCUAACACAGCCUCAUGAGAAGAACCUUGAGAUGGAAGAAAUCGGAAACCUCUAUAUUGUGCCGUGUUCAUUCAAGAUUUUUAAGUUUUAUUUAUCAUGGAAAUUUUCAAACAUAUGUACAAGUAGAAAGAUGCAUGUAAUUAACUCCCAUGGAUUCAUGACCCAGGGAUCAUCUGAUUUCACCUGUGACUAUUUCAGUAUGAACAGUAACUCCUUAAUAUUACUGAAUACAUAGACCACAUUAAAAGUCUGUAUACAGAUUUGUCUGACAUCUCAAUGCUAUGUUUUCAUAGCUAGCUUGUUUGAUUCAGAAUCCAAGGAGAUCUGUACCCUGGAUUUGGCUGAUACAGCUCUGAAGGUUUUUAAUCUGUGCCCGCUUUACAAUUACAUGCGCCUGAUUUAAGGUCCCACAUUCUGGGUGUGGCAGACUGCUUCCUCAUGGUGUCACCUGGCUGCUCCCCUGGCUCCUGCAUUUUCUAUAAACUGGUUGGUAGAGCAGAGGCUGACUGGAGUCAGUACAGCUUUUGGGGGCAAGACCCCCUCACAGGUGGUGCCAGGUCCACUUCAGGCCAUGAGAAUACCUAAGGCUCAUGUCCAGCUGUCCAACUUUUAGUGAUGCCAUCUUUCUUUAUUUUAAAACUUCCUAGUUAAUAGGUGUUUAGAAUAAAAUUUCAAAUACUCAAGAAAUAAUGACAGCAUGCUCCCAUAUGCUCUAUCUCUAGGUGAAACUGUGACUUUUUGGUGUGUCCCAUCCCCACCCCACAAAAUAUAUACAUAGAUACACACUCAUGUGCGCACACACACAGGCACGUUUUAGGGAAGAAUGGAAACCAACUCUCUAGUCUGGAUUUGAGGGUUGGCCCCUCUACCUUCCCGUGGGUGACUGUUGGUAAGCAAGUUGCGCGCCCCUCGUGAGCCCUAUCUCGUCAGGCAACUUCAUUCCAGCUUACGCUGUCCGUCCCAACCCUCCAGGUGCCCAACUACAAAGGCCCCCCUUUGACCAAGAGCUUUCUUUAUGCUGGGAAUGGACUCAACACUGUAGGUGCAGUGAGUCCCUGAACUGCCUGACUUCUCUCUGAGGCAAGAUUAUCCCUGAUUUACAGAAGACUGAGACCCAGAGAAUCAAAGUCACUCACCCAAAGUCACACUGUGUGUUAGUCCGUUUGCUGCUGCUAUAACGGAAUACCUGAGACUGGGUAAUUUAUAAAGAAAAGAAAUUUAUUUCCUACAGUUCUGAAAGUGGGAAAGUCCAAGGUCGAAGGGCUGCAUCUGGUGAGGGCCUUCUUGGUGGUGGGGACUCUGCAGAGUCCUAAGGUAGCACAGGACAUCACAUAAUGAGGGGGCUAGAGCAUGCCAACUGGCUGUUAUAACAGAGUCAUUCUCAUGCUAAGUAACCAACUCCUGUGAUAAUCCAUUACCUCUUAAAGGCCCCACACCUCUUAAUACUGUUACAUCAGGACUUGAGUUUUGACAUGAGUUUCUGAGGAGAUAAAAGUUCAAACCCCAGCACAGUAAGUAGGUGGUGGAGGAGCGUACCCCACCAUCUGCUAUGUGACCCCCAGCAAGCUGACCAGUUAGUGGCUUGGCUUUGGAGUCAGAGGGACCCCGGUUCAGAUGCUGCAUCUAUUAGCUGUGAGGCGCUGUUACUCCUCAUCUCUAAACUAAGGCUGCUGUGAGGACAAAGUGAGCUGAUACCCGUACAGUGCUCAGCAGGGACCCAACCCGCUAGGAAGCAGCUGAGCAAGUGGCAUCUGUUGUCUACCCGUUUGUCCAAUGAUGACUGAGCAGCUACUAUGAGCUGGCCCCUGAACAGGCACGGGAUGCAGGAGAGAAGGAGGCAGCCAGUUCCUGCCCUCAUGGGAUUUAGUCACAUUGACAUUUGUGAAA